AUUGAACGCUGGCGGCAUGCCUUACACAUGCAAGUCGAAUGGUAACAGGUCUUCGGAUGCUGACGAGUGGCGAACGGGUGAGUAAUACAUCGGAACGUGCCUAGUAGUGGGGGAUAACUACUCGAAAGAGUGGCUAAUACCGCAUGAGAUCUAAGGAUGAAAGCAGGGGAUCGCAAGACCUUGGGAUACCAGAGCGGCCGAUGGCAGAUUAGGUAGUUGGUGGGAUAAAAGCUUACCAAGCCGACGAUCUGUAGCUGGUCUGAGAGGACGAUCAGCCACACUGGGACUGAGACACGGCCCAGACUCCUACGGGAGGCAGCAGUGGGGAAUUUUGGACAAUGGGCGAAAGCCUGAUCCAGCAAUGCCGCGUGCAGGAUGAAGGCCUUCGGGUUGUAAACUGCUUUUGUACGGAACGAAAAGCCCCGGGUUAAUACCCUGGGGUCAUGACGGUACCGUAAGAAUAAGCACCGGCUAACUACGUGCCAGCAGCCGCCGUAA
rnacentral:rRNA from 1 species